rnacentral:rRNA from 1 species
UGGGGAAUAUUGGACAAUGGGGGAAACCCUGAUCCAGCAAUGCCGCGUGAGUGAAGAAGGCCUUAGGGUUGUAAAGCUCUUUCGCCCGCGAAGAUAAUGACGGUAGCGGGAGAAGAAGCCCCGGCUAACUCCGUGCCAGCAGCCGCGGUAAUACGGAGGGGGCUAGCGUUGUUCGGAAUUACUGGGCGUAAAGCGUACGUAGGCGGAUGCGCAAGUUGGGGGUGAAAUCCCGGGGCUUAACCUCGGAAUUGCCCUCAAAACUGCACGUCUUGAGACCGAGAGAGGUAAGGGUAAUUCCUAGUGUAGAGGUGAAAUUCGGAGAUAUUAGGAAGAACACCAGUGGCGAAGGCGCCUUACUGGCUCGGUACUGACGCUGAGGUACGAAAGCGUGGGGAGCAAACA